UACGGGGGGGGUAAGCGUUGUUCGGAAUUACUGGGCGUAAAGGGCUCGUAGGCGGCCAACUAAGUCAGACGUGAAAUCCCUCAGCUUAACUGGGGAACUGCGUCUGAUACUGGAUGGCUUGGAUUUGGGAGAGGGAUGCGGAAUUCCAGGUGUAGCGGUGAAAUGCGUAGAUACUGGGAGGAACACCGGUGGCGAAGGCGGCUACCUGGACCGGAACUGACGCUGAGGCGCGAAAGCGUGGGUAGCAAACAGG
rnacentral:rRNA from 1 species